UACAGGGGGUGCAAACGUUGCUCGGAAUUAUUGGGCGUAAAGCGCGCGUAGGCGGCUACCUAAGUCGGAUGUGAAAGCCCCUGGCUUAACUGGGGAAGUGCACCCGAAACUGGGUAGCUAGAGUGCAAAAGAGGGUCGCGGAAUUCCCGGUGUAGAGGUGAAAUUCGUAGAUAUCGGGAGGAACACCAGUGGCGAAGGCGGCUUCCUGGCCUGUUCUUGACGCUGAGGCGCGAAAGCUAGGGGAGCAAACGGG
rnacentral:rRNA from 1 species